GAAAACUUCCCAUGGGAGAAAUCCCGAUGAGGGAAUUCCAAGUGCUAGCACUAUGUGUUAGCUGUUCUUUUGUCUAAAAAACAGAAGAAGUAAGGGCCGGGUAAGACGGGUGCCAGCCGCCGCGGUAAUACCCGCGGCCCGAGUGGUGGUCGAUAUUAUUGAGCCUAAAACGUCCGUAGCCGGUCUUGUAAAUCCUUGGGUAAAUCGGCCAGCUUAACUGUCCGAAGUCCGGGGAGACUGCAAGACUUGGGAUCGGGAGAGGUCAGAGGUACCUCUGGGGUAGGGGUAAAAUCCUGUAAUCCUGGAAGGACCACCGGUGGCGAAGGCGUCUGACUAGAACGAAUUCGACGGUGAGGGACGAAGCCCUGGGGCGCAAACGGGAUUAGAUACCCCGGUAGUCCAGGGUGUAAACGCUGCGGGCUUGGUGUUGGGGGUCCUUUGUGGGCGCCCAGUGCCGGAGAGAAGUUGUUAAGCCUGCUGCUUGGGGAGUACGUCCGCAAGGAUGAAACUUAAAGGAAUUGGCGGGGGAGCAC
rnacentral:rRNA from 1 species